AGAAAAUCCAAAUUAGCACAAUUACGAAUUUCCGACCAAAUUAAGUAGAAUUCGGAAAACGGGCAAAUAACAGACAAUUAAACAUAAUUCCCUGGUUUAUUUAAGUGCAAUAAACUAAAUAUAGUUCAAGAAAUAACGACUCAUCACUCACCUUUUUAAUUUUUUUCUUUUUCUUCUUUUUUCCUCUCAACCUCUUCUUUUCUCUUAAUCUCACUUUUUUCCUCACCCUCAAUUUUUUUCUCUUUUCCGUCUUUUCUCUCUCGAUCACUCAAUCUUUCUUUUUCUCUUUCUUCUCUCUU
rnacentral:lncRNA from 1 species